CUUGCCCUUGGGUCUGGCAUAACUCCGGGAAACUGGAGAUAAUUCCGGAUAACGCAUAUAUGCUGGAAUNCUUUAUGCGUAAAAUGGAUUCGUCUGCCCAAGGAUGGGUCUGCGGCCUAUCAGGUAGUAGUGGGUGUAAUGUACCUACUAGCCUACGACGGGUACGGGUUGUGAGAGCAAGAGCCCGGAGAUGGAUUCUGAGACAUGAAUCCAGGCCCUACGGGGCGCAGCAGGCGCGAAAACUUUACAAUGCGGGAAACCGUGAUAAGGGGACACCGAGUGCCAGCAUCAUAUGCUGGCUGUCCAGGUGUGUAAAAUACACCUGUUAGCAAGGGCCGGGCAAGACCGGUGCCAGCCGCCGCGGUAACACCGGCGGCCCGAGUGGUGAUCGUGAUUAUUGGGUCUAAAGGGUCCGUAGCCGGUUUGGUCAGUCCUCCGGGAAAUCUGAUAGCUCAACUAUUAGGCUUUCGGAGGAUACUGCCAGACUUGGAACCGGGAGAGGUAAGAGGUACUACAGGGGUAGGAGUGAAAUCUUGUAAUCCCUGUGGGACCACCUGUGGCGAAGGCGUCUUACCAGAACGGGUUCGACGGUGAGGGACGAAAGCUGGGGGCACGAACCGGAUUAGAUACCCGGGUAGUCCCAGCCGUAAACGAUGCUCGCUAGGUGUCAGGCAUGGCGCGACCGUGUCUGGUGCCGCAGGGAAGCCGUGAAGCGAGCCACUU
rnacentral:rRNA from 1 species